rnacentral:misc_RNA from 1 species
AAGUCGUAACAAGGUCUCCGUAGGUGAACCUGCGGAGGGAUCAUUCACAUGAUUACCUUUUUAACAUUCUGUGAACUUUUUAUUUUACUAUUCGUGUAUAUCAAUCAAUUGAUUUUUAUUACACUGUCAUUCGAUGAACAUUAGAUAGUUGGCUUGAAUCUAUGUGAUUCAUUCUCAGCUGAUUGUAGUAAUACAAUCACCCAAAUAAUAUAGAAACAACUCUAUACCCUGGAUAUCUUGGUUCUC